rnacentral:rRNA from 1 species
CUCUUCUUGAUUUAUUAAUUUGAAGUAUAACCUGCCCACUGAUAUAAAUUUUGAAGGGCCGCGGUAUUUUGACCGUGCAAAGGUAGCAUAAUCAUUAGUCUUUUAAUUGAAGACUGGAAUGAAUGGUUGGACGAAAAAUAAACUGUUUCUUAAAUAUUAAUUUGAAUUUAAAUUUUAAGUUAAAAUGCUUAACUUUUUUUAUGGGACGAGAAGACCCUAUAGAGUUUAAUAUUUUUUAUUAUUAUUUUGUUUGUUAUAAAGUUUUAUUUUAAUUUUUAUUUUGUUGGGGUGAUGGGAAGAAUUAAUAAACUCUUCUUUUUGUUUAUAUAUUUAUAUAUAAUUUUUUGAUCCAUUUUUGAUGAUUAUAAGACUAAAUUACCUUAGGGAUAACAGCGUAAUCUUUUUUGAGAGUUCUUAUCAAUAAAUGGGUUUGCGA